rnacentral:rRNA from 1 species
CAGAAAAGUGCGGCGUUAUCGGAUUUACUGGGCGUAAGCGUGCGUAGGCGGCUUCUUAAGUCGGAUGUGAAAUCCCUGAGCUUAACUUAGGAAUUGCAUUCGAUACUGGGAAGCUAGAGUAUGGGAGAGGAUGGUAGAAUUCCAGGUGUAGCGGUGAAAUGCGUAGAGAUCUGGAGGAAUACCGAUGGCGAAGGCAGCCAUCUGGCCUAAUACUGACGCUGAGGUACGAAAGCAUGGGGAGCAAACAGGAUUAGAUACCCUGGUAGUCCAUGCCGUAAACGAUGUCUACUAGCCGUUGGGGCCUUUGAGGCUUUAGUGGCGCAGCUAACGCGAUAAGUAGACCGCCUGGGGAGUACGGUCGCAAGACUAAAACUCAAAUGAAUUGACGGGGGCCCGCACAAGCGGUGGAGCAUGUGGUUUAAUUCGAUGCAACGCGAAGAACCUUACCUGGUCUUGACAUAGUAAGAACUUUCCAGAGAUGGAUUGGUGCCUUCGGGAACUUACAUACAGGUGCUGCAUGGCUGUCGUCAGCUCGUGUCGUGAGAUGUUGGGUUAAGUCCCGCAACGAGCGCAACCCUUUUCCUUAUUUGCCAGCGGGUUAAGCCGGGAACUUUAAGGAUACUGCCAGUGACAAACUGGAGGAAGGCGGGGACGACGUCAGUCAUCAUGGCCCUUACGACAGGGCUACACACGUGCUACAAUGGUCGGUACAAAGGUUGCUACCUAGCGAUAGGAUGCUAUCUCAAAAGCCGAUCGUAGUCCGGAUGGAGUCUGCACUCGACUCCAUGAGUCGGAUCGCUAGUAUCGCGGAUCAAAUGCCGCGGUGAAUACGUUCCCGGCUUGUACACACCGCCGUCACACCAUGGGAAUUGUUGCCCAAAAUAGUAGUCUACCGCAGAGACCUACACGUGGCAUGUGGGGGGGGGGGGGAAACA